rnacentral:lncRNA from 1 species
AUGGCCAACCCCUGGCACCCCACAGGGGCGCUGCCUGUCUCCUCUCCCCAAAGAAGAGUCGACUCAGCAGCCCCUUCCAGGUGGACAAUAAGUUCCCCGUGUCUUCCCACAAAUGCCUCUCCUACUCUCCCGGGGUCCCUUUGUGUAGAAGCAGCCGCUCUGUAUGUUCGUGUUGGUGCACCCUCACCCAGAGGGGAAAAGCAGCCCGAGUAUCUCAGCCUGACGCCUCUCAGACUGAAAGCAGCAGCCAUGGGAAGUUGUACGUUUCUUUUUCUGGACCACACAGGUCUGCACUGCAAGGCUCCUUUUGUUUUCUUUCCUAGGGCUCAGGAUGGACAAGGUAGCCCAGAGCUGGACCAACUGCCAAGAGAAGGAGUCCCUUCUGCCCUCUGCCCUCUCAACAAGCGACUCUUCACAGCUUCUCCUCUUCCCUUGGUGACAAUGACAGCCAGCGAUGGGCCAACAGCCUACUCCCAACCUGGCCUGGGUCUGGUGGCCCCAGCGUGAGAUCACCGUAGUGAGGUCUGACUUCAGCAUCGCCAUGGGGAUGUUCGGAUGCCACGCUGCCUGCAAGCAGCACCUUUUUCCCCGGGAGAGUGGGUGGGGACCGUGGCUGAUGCUGACUACGUAUGAUGUGACCUGCUCCUGGCUGCUGGGGCUGUUUGUCCCCAAACAUAUGUUGUCAGAUCUCAGUUGAGUGGGGUGGGCCAGGGGACUCACUCAGGACCUGCGGGCUCUAUUGUGUGUCUGUGUGUUUGGGAUAUGACGAGAGGUGUUCAUUAGACCUCAUGGGCAGCCUCAUUUUCUUCUCUCCCUGGGCUGCUGAUCACUGUGCUCCUAAUGGGCCUCGGAUUGACUUUCACAGCAACCUGGUCUCCAUAGCAACCAGCUGUGACAUCACAAGGAACCCACAGACCCUGGAGCUGGAACAGAGGAAGCUUGAAUGCCUGAUUGGGGAAGAAAGCCUUUGCUGCCCCUCCUUAGGCCUCUCCUGUGAUAGGGGAAGAGGACAUAGAAACGCUGAGAGAGCCAGGGCUGCCGCUUCUCUGGAGGUUUGAGCUGGGUCUGCUCGAAAUCCUUCCCUUCCUCUCUUUGUCCCCUUUCUCCUCAUCCCUCAAAAAAUAUGUAUCUCAUUUUCCUCAACUGUAAAAUGGGGACAUUAGAAGCCGCCCUUGAGUGUUUAUUAUAUGCCAGGCACUAUUAUAAGCAUCUUGCAUGGAUUUUCUCAUUUACUUCAUAACAGCCCUAUAAAGUACUUUCUUCUUAGUAUUCCCCCUUCUGUAAGUGGAGGGAAAGGAAGCACAGCAGAAGGAUUGGAAUCAAGACAGCCUGGCUCCAGAGCCUGUUUUCAUAACUACGAGAGAAUGCACCAGAUUCCUUCUGAAUGCCGCCUGCCACGUGCGCGGCUACAACUCUAUUUCCAGCCAUGCUGUGGCAAGCAGUUCCGGGCGGGCUUCAGCUCCCUUUGCACCACCAGCACCUCGCCUCCUGUCAGCAUGAGGCGGUUUUCAUUUUCUGCCCAGGGGCUUCCGCAGCACCCCAACACAAGGCUGGCAGGAGCAGGCUCAGCGGGAGGACUUGUGGAGGGAAGUUGCUUCCACUGAGCCAGCCUCAACCUGGGGUGCACAGGCACCAUGGGGUGAAUGCUUCUGCCAGGCGGUCAUCUGGCCCACAAGGUCCCUCUGUGCACUGCUUGGAAGGUCCUGGCAGUGACCCAUGGCAUGACCUAAUAAUGCACCGUUAUCUUGGCUCUUCUGCUUUCUCUUUUUUCCCACUGGUAUUCGUCCCUCAUUUCUGGUCCCUAGAAUGACUUCCAAAAUAAAC